rnacentral:rRNA from 2 species
UGCAAGUCGAACGCGUUGGCCCAAUUGAUUGAUGGUGCUUGCACCUGAUUGAUUUUGGUCGCCAACGAGUGGCGGACGGGUGAGUAACACGUAGGUAACCUGCCCAGAAGCGGGGGACAACAUUUGGAAACAGAUGCUAAUACCGCAUAACAGCGUUGUUCGCAUGAACAACGCUUAAAAGAUGGCUUCUCGCUAUCACUUCUGGAUGGACCUGCGGUGCAUUAGCUUGUUGGUGGGGUAACGGCCUACCAAGGCGAUGAUGCAUAGCCGAGUUGAGAGACUGAUCGGCCACAAUGGGACUGAGACACGGCCCAUACUCCUACGGGAGGCAGCAGUAGGGAAUCUUCCACAAUGGGCGCAAGCCUGAUGGAGCAACACCGCGUGAGUGAAGAAGGGUUUCGGCUCGUAAAGCUCUGUUGUUAAAGAAGAACACGUAUGAGAGUAACUGUUCAUACGUUGACGGUAUUUAACCAGAAAGUCACGGCUAACUACGUGCCAGCAGCCGCGGUAAUACGUAGGUGGCAAGCGUUAUCCGGAUUUAUUGGGCGUAAAGAGAGUGCAGGCGGUUUUCUAAGUCUGAUGUGAAAGCCUUCGGCUUAACCGGAGAAGUGCAUCGGAAACUGGAUAACUUGAGUGCAGAAGAGGGUAGUGGAACUCCAUGUGUAGCGGUGGAAUGCGUAGAUAUAUGGAAGAACACCAGUGGCGAAGGCGGCUACCUGGUCUGCAACUGACGCUGAGACUCGAAAGCAUGGGUAGCGAACAGGAUUAGAUACCCUGGUAGUCCAUGCCGUAAACGAUGAGUGCUAGGUGUUGGAGGGUUUCCGCCCUUCAGUGCCGGAGCUAACGCAUUAAGCACUCCGCCUGGGGAGUACGACCGCAAGGUUGAAACUCAAAGGAAUUGACGGGGGCCCGCACAAGCGGUGGAGCAUGUGGUUUAAUUCGAAGCUACGCGAAGAACCUUACCAGGUCUUGACAUCUUGCGCCAACCCUAGAGAUAGGGCGUUUCCUUCGGGAACGCAAUGACAGGUGGUGCAUGGUCGUCGUCAGCUCGUGUCGUGAGAUGUUGGGUUAAGUCCCGCAACGAGCGCAACCCUUGUUACUAGUUGCCAGCAUUAAGUUGGGCACUCUAGUGAGACUGCCGGUGACAAACCGGAGGAAGGUGGGGACGACGUCAGAUCAUCAUGCCCCUUAUGACCUGGGCUACACACGUGCUACAAUGGACGGUACAACGAGUCGCGAACUCGCGAGGGCAAGCAAAUCUCUUAAAACCGUUCUCAGUUCGGACUGCAGGCUGCAACUCGCCUGCACGAAGUCGGAAUCGCUAGUAAUCGCGGAUCAGCAUGCCGCGGUGAAUACGUUCCCGGGCCUUGUACACACCGCCCGUCACACCAUGAGAGUUUGUAACACCCAAAGUCGGUGGGGUAACCUUUUAGGAGCCAGCCGCCUAAG